rnacentral:lncRNA from 1 species
UUUCCCGCCGAUGUAGUUUUGCAUGUCAUUUCGGAUUCUUUCAUAGCUUACUAUACGGUAAAGGUUUUGCUGAUCUCCUUAUUUAUUUUAGCUAGCGGAUCCCUCCUCGUUCUCUUCCUUCGAUAUAAUUUACUGCGAUUCUACAUAGAUACUAGUGAACAGGACAAUAUGUUUUUGCAGUAAUUAAAACUGUUUUGUAAAUCUCCAUGAAUUGU